AGUCGAGCGGCAGCGGAAAGUAGCUUGCUACUUUGCCGGCGAGCGGCGGACGGGUGAGUAAUGUCUGGGAAACUGCCUGAUGGAGGGGGAUAACUACUGGAAACGGUAGCUAAUACCGCAUGACCUCGAAAGAGCAAAGUGGGGGAUCUUCGGACCUCACGCCAUCGGAUGUGCCCAGAUGGGAUUAGCUAGUAGGUGAGGUAAUGGCUCACCUAGGCGACGAUCCCUAGCUGGUCUGAGAGGAUGACCAGCCACACUGGAACUGAGACACGGUCCAGACUCCUACGGGAGGCAGCAGUGGGGAAUAUUGCACAAUGGGCGCAAGCCUGAUGCAGCCAUGCCGCGUGUGUGAAGAAGGCCUUAGGGUUGUAAAGCACUUUCAGCGAGGAGGAAGGCAUCACACUUAAUACGUGUGGUGAUUGACGUUACUCGCAGAAGAAGCACCGGCUAACUCCGUGCCAGCAGCCGCGGUAAUACGGAGGGUGCAAGCGUUAAUCGGAAUUACUGGGCGUAAAGCGCACGCAGGCGGUUUGUUAAGUCAGAUGUGAAAUCCCCGCGCUUAACGUGGGAACUGCAUUUGAAACUGGCAAGCUAGAGUCUUGUAGAGGGGGGUAGAAUUCCAGGUGUAGCGGUGAAAUGCGUAGAGAUCUGGAGGAAUACCGGUGGCGAAGGCGGCCCCCUGGACAAAGACUGACGCUCAGGUGCGAAAGCGUGGGGAGCAAACAG
rnacentral:rRNA from 1 species